AUUGAACGCUGGCGGCAGGCCUAACACAUGCAAGUCGAACGGUAACAGGAAGCAGCUUGCUGCUUUGCUGACGAGUGGCGGACGGGUGAGUAAUGUCUGGGAAACUGCCUGAUGGAGGGAGAUAACUACUGGAAACGGUAGCUAAUACCGCAUAACGUCGCAAGACCAAAGAGGGGGACCUUCGGGCCUCUUGCCAUCGGAUGUGCCCAGAUGGGAUUAGCUAGUAGGUGGGGUAACGGCUCACCUAGGCGACGAUCCCUAGCUGGUCUGAGAGGAUGACCAGCCACACUGGAACUGAGACACGGUCCAGACUCCUACGGGAGGCAGCAGUGGGGAAUAUUGCACAAUGGGCGCAAGCCUGAUGCAGCCAUGCCGCGUGUAUGAAGAAGGCCUUCGGGUUGUAAAGUACUUUCAGCGGGGAGGAAGGGAGUAAAGUUAAUACCUUUGCUCAUUGACGUUACCCGCAGAAGAAGCACCGGCUAACUCCGUG
rnacentral:rRNA from 1 species